GACUGCAGUCUCUGAAGAUGAAGUGACCUACAGCACAGUGUUCACCAACACACAGUCAUCAUCACACAGAAUAAGUCCACAUCAGUCACAGCCGUCUGAAAACCCUGCAGAUGAGGUCCUGUACAGCUCAAUCAUCCUGAAAAAUCUACAGACCACACACUCGUCUCACCGUUCUGCAGCAGAUAGAGCCGGUGAUGUGAUUUACAGCUCAGUUGCCGGGCAGAAAACACAGUAGAGGGCAGCAACGUGACGAAAGACGACGUCCCAAGUGGAAUUUUGUCCACAAGCUCAAAGGAAGAGGCCUGGGUGUUCUGGAACCUGAGGAUUCAUAUUUCAGAGCAUCAAAUACAGCCAGUCACCCCAUUACAAAUAUUUGACUCUGCUUUUCCCUGCUGGACAAAAAAAGACACCAUCAUUUUCCUAACUUGAAAAGGAACCAUCGCCCUCUGCUGGACAGAUUAGAACGAUCACAACGAUCACACUUUUUCCCCAGAGCAUUCCAAACACAAUUUCCCAGGAGCGCUAACAAAUGACAAUUACAAUUGCACAUUACCUAUAGACUUUCACAUUAUAUAUAUAUAUAUAUUAUCCAUCCAUCCAUCCAUUAUCUGAACCCGCUUAUCCUGAUCAGGGUCGCAGGGGGGCUGGAGCCUAUCCCAGCAUACAUUGGGCGAAAAGCAGGAAUACACCCUGGACAGGUCGCCAGUCUAUCUCAGGGCAUAUAUAUAUUAUAUAUAUAUGAUUUCAAAUAACAAUAAUACUGCCACUGAAUAACAAUUUUAUGAUGUAACUGUAUUAAUUAUUUCAGUUUACAGUAUAAUAGAGGGGUGGCCAAUUCUGGUCCUGGUGGGCCAAGGUGUAUGCAGGUUUUUGUUUCCACCAAUUACCCUGGCUAAAUGAACUAAUUUGCUCAAUGCACCAACACUGGUUCUCUCAAAGAUUAGGUCACAGUAAAACGGGGGACACAAGACCAGUCAUCAGAAAAUGUACUGCAGCUAAAAUUUCCGAUUUCGUAAAAGGUUAAUUAUGUAAUUAAGGCCAGAAGUUGGUAUGAAAUCCAGAAAUGGAUAUGCUGCUCUUUUCCCACCUCUGGAAUACAUAAAUAUUAAAUUAUAAUGAUAGUUACCCUGCUCUGGCCACUGAGAGAGCACACACUACAGAAUACGAGGGACCAAAGAGGUGGGGACUGAGAGGAACAGGAAGUGAGACUCACGCUAAAGGGAGCUGGAGUCUCUAACAGACACACAUACCCAUCAGGCACAUAUGGCUCUCACUCUGAUACUCUUCCUCUCCAUCCUCUUCCUCACUGUGCUGCCAGGUAGGACUCGUUUCUCACACUGUAGAGACUCUGGAGCAUUGUAGCAGAGAGACCGUCUGUGCCUUAAACUUGAAUGAAUGAGUUAAACUGAAGAUUGUAGUUUGCAUCUUACAUAAUAGGACUAAUGUGAUUAGAAUACACUCAGUGAGCACUUUAUUAGGUAGACCUGUACACCAGCUUUUAAUGCAAAUAUUAAAUUUGCCAAUCUCAUGUGGCAGCAACUAGAUGCAUCUGUUGUCAAGGUUCAGCUGUUUCUCAAAGAAAAUGUCAGAAUGAAGAAGAAAUGUUGGUGCCAGAGAGUGGCUUGAGUAUUUCCUGGGUUUUUCAUGCACAACAGUGUCGAGUUUUCAGAGAAUGGUGCAAAAAGCAAAGAAUAUCCUGUGAGCAGUGUAAAAAUACACCUUUUAAAACUGUACCUUAGUCUUCCCUCCUGAUCCCCCCCCCCACACUUUCCGAUAUCCGUCUUGUUUAACCCCCCAAAAAAAGAAGAAAAUUGCACUUACGAUGACAAUUUUUUGUUCAGAACAGCACUUCAUGUGUAUUUUACUAGUUAUGGAUGUGAUGCUUUAACUUGUGGAAGAACCUAUGCACUUGUACGUCGCUUUGGAUUGAAAGUGUCUGCCAUAUGACAAAAAUGUAAAAUGUAAAUGUAAAAAUGGACAUGUCGCCCGUCCAUCGCAGGGCAAGAAUAGAACUAAUAAACGCAAAUUGACCAUG